rnacentral:pre_miRNA from 1 species
UAUAUACUCCCUCCGUUCCGAAUUACUUGUCUUGAAUUUGUCUAGAUACGGAUGUAUCUAGACUCAUUUUAGUGCUAGAUACCUCCGUAUCUAGAUAAAUCCAAGACAAGUAAUUCAGAACGGAGGGAGUAUAAC